GUAGUCUUUUUUGCAAUUUGCUUAUUGUGUAAGGUUUCCAUUUUUUUCUCCAGCCUUACAUAUGGUAAUUAAGCUUCAACUCCUUGGUGGUCUGUCAUUGAAGUUCGGAAUGGGUUGACAUUUCUCGACUUAAUUGUUAUCCAUAUUGAGAAUCUCAAUUCAAAAUACGGAUGCAAUGUUCCCUUGCUUUUAAUGAACUCAUUCAACACUCACGAUGAUACAUUGAAGGU